GGGAAACCGAGUCUUAAUUGGGCGUUAAGUUGCAGGGUAUAGACCCGAAACCCGGUGAUCUAGCCAUGGGCAGGUUGAAGGUUGGGUAACACUAACUGGAGGACCGAACCGACUAAUGUUGAAAAAUUAGCGGAUGACCUGUGGCUGGGGGUGAAAGGCCAAUCAAACCGGGAGAUAGCUGGUUCUCCCCGAAAGCUAUUUAGGUAGCGCCUCGUGAAUUCAUCUCCGGGGGUAGAGCACUGUUUCGGCUAGGGGGCCAUCCCGGCUUACCAACCCGAUGCAAACUGCGAAUACCGGAGAAUGUUAUCACGGGAGACACACGGCGGGUGCUAACGUCCGUCGUGAAGAGGGAAACAACCCAGACCGCCAGCUAAGGUCCCAAAGUCAUGGUUAAGUGGGAAACGAUGUGGGAAGGCCCAGACAGCCAGGAUGUUGGCUUAGAAGCAGCCAUCAUUUAAAGAAAGCGUAAUAGCUCACUGGUCGAGUCGGCCUGCGCGGAAGAUGUAACGGGGCUAAACCAUGCACCGAAGCUGCGGCAGCGACACUGUGUGUUGUUGGGUAGGGGAGCGUUCUGUAAGCCUGUGAAGGUGUGUCGUGAGGCAUGCUGGAGGUAUCAGAAGUGCGAAUGCUGACAUAAGUAACGAUAAAGCGGGUGAAAAGCCCGCUCGCCGGAAGACCAAGGGUUCCUGUCCAACGUUAAUCGGGGCAGGGUGAGUCGACCCCUAAGGCGAGGCCGAAAGGCGUAGUCGAUGGGAAACGGGUUAAUAUUCCCGUACUUGGUGUUACUGCGAAGGGGGGACGGAGAAGGCUAUGUUGGCCGGGCGACGGUU
rnacentral:rRNA from 1 species